GGGGGGGGGGGGGGGGGGGGGGGGGGGGGGGGGGGCGGACGGAAAGGCCCUGCUUGUGUGGGGUGCUCGAGUGGCGAACGGGUGGGUAACACGUGAGUAACCUGCCCUUGACUUUGGGAUAACUUCAGGAAACUGGGGCUAAUGCCGGAUAGGAGCUCCUGCUGCAUGGUGGGGGUGGGAAAGUUUCGGCGGUUGGGGAUGGACUCGCGGCUUAUCAGCUUGUUGGUGGGGCAGUGGCUUACCAAGGCUUUGACGGGUAGCCGGCCUGAGAGGGUGACCGGCCACAUUGGGACUGAGAUACGGCCCAGACUCCUACGGGAGGCAGCAGUGGGGAAUAUUGCACAAUGGGCGGAAGCCUGAUGCAGCAACGCCGCGUGCGGGAUGACGGCCUUCGGGUUGUAAACCGCUUUCGCCUGUGACGAAGCGUGAGUGACGGUAAUGGGUAAAGAAGCACCGGCUAACUACGUG
rnacentral:rRNA from 1 species